rnacentral:rRNA from 1 species
GCGUUUGACCUCAAAUCAGGUAGGAUUACCCGCUGAACUUAGCAUAUCAAUACGG